rnacentral:pre_miRNA from 1 species
UGGUAGAGUAUUACAUUAGGUACUGGUGUAGAAUAUGUCUGCUUUAGCACUAUUCUGAAAUACUAACCAGUACUUAUGUCAUACUUACAACUA